rnacentral:rRNA from 1 species
UACAGAGGGUGCAAGCAUUGUUCGGAAUCAUUGGGCGUAAAGGGCGCGUAGGUGGCUUCUUAAGCGUGCGGUGAAAGCCUGGGGCUCAACCCCGGGUCGGCCGUGCGAACUGGGGGGCUGGAGCACUGUAGAGGCAGGCGGAAUUCCGGGUGUAGCGGUGGAAUGACGUAGAGAUCCGGAAGAACACCGGUGGCGAAGGCGGCCGCUGGGCAGUGCUGACACUGAGGCGCGACAGCGUGGGGAGCAAACAGGG